UAGGGAAUCUUCCGCAAUGGGCGAAAGCCUGACGGAGCAACGCCGCGUGAGUGAUGAAGGUCUUUGGAUCGUAAAACUCUGUUAUUAGGGAAGAACAAAUGUGUAAGUAACUAUGCACAUCUUGACGGUACCUAAUCAGAAAGCCACGGCUAACUACGUGCCAGUAGCCGCGGUAAUACGUAGGUGGCAAGCGUUAUCCGGAAUUAUUGGGCGUAAAGCGCGCGUAGGCGGUUUUUUAAGUCUGAUGUGAAAGCCCACGGCUCAACCGUGGAGGGUCAUUGGAAACUGGAAAACUUGAGUGCAGAAGAGGAAAGUGGAAUUCCAUGUGUGGCGGUGAAAUGCGCAGAGAUAUGAAGGAACACCAGUGGCGAAGGCGACUUUCUGGUCUGUAACUGACGCUGAUGUGCGAAAGCGUGGGGAUCAAACAGG
rnacentral:rRNA from 1 species